UGAUCGACUCCCAUAGAGUUGUUUUCGCAACUGGCAGUGCCAAAUGACCCCUAGCGUCAGUGCUGAUAACUGGUGUUAAUUACUAAGGUAUACAAUUUCACUCUAUUAGUAUAGACAUUUACUCAGUAAGUGUAAACAGCAUCACAACCCCGCACAUAAGUUCAGUUUCUGCGUUCAAAUUUCCUUUUCGCGACACCAUUGUUGGAUCAACAAAAUCCUAAUUUGUUCCACGACAACUGCUUACUAUAUAUUGAAGACUAAUCUGAUUUAAGAAUCUUCCCUGAUGAGUCCUGUCUCUGCCAGUUCUGUGAUCGGUGGUUCAGACCAUGAGUCGGAUGAUACAAUAAUUUUGAGUGAUGGAAGCUCCUCACGACAGCAUCAAAGAUCUGAUGACGAAGCAAAAAAUGUACGUUUGUAAUUCAUUCUUCAAUUCACUUGCCAUCAAAGCUAAUAGAGAGCAUACUGAAGAAAAAGCCUGGUGGAGAGGUUGUCAUCAAGGAAUACUUCAAAACUAAAAGCCUGACUGACUGCACCAGAUGAAAGAUGAUCAACAUUCUUGUUUCAGCGAUGACAGACUCUCAUGGGUACACAAAAGACGAGCCGAUGGGAGUGACCACCCUCACCCCUGCAAAAUAGCUGUCCCGUCGCAGAUUUAAACAAGCCACUGCCUCCGAACCACCUUGAUCCAGAAACUGUCGGGCAGCCCCAGCUGUUUUGAGCGCCACACUUUUAGGUACUAAAUAACAAAUUCAAGUUUUAUUUUGGGGAGGGCUUGCCUGUUCUGCAUGUUAAUUUGGCAUUAAUACAUGUCAUAUCAGUUUGCAAACAAUGUAAAAAAAUAAAUAAAAAUAAAGCCGCAUACAAACAUG